CCCUUAGAUGUUCUGGGCCGCACGCGCGCUACACUGAUUCAUGCAACAAGUUUUGUCCUUGGCUGAUAGGCCUGGGUAAUCUUUGAACGUGAAUCGUGAUGGGGAUAGAUGAUUGCAAUUAUUCAUCUUCAACGAGGAAUUCCUAGUAAACGCAAGUCAUCAGCUUGCAUUGAUUACGUCCCUGCCCUUUGUACACACCGCCCGUCGCACCUACCGAUUGAAUGGUCCGGUGAAAUCUUCGGAUCUGAGAGAUGUCUGAUUAAUUUCGGACGCCUUUUGGAACAGUUGCUUAAACCUUACCAUUUAGAGGAAGGUGAAGUCGUAACA
rnacentral:rRNA from 1 species